AUUGAACGCGGGCGGAAUGCUUUACACAUGCAAGUCGAACGAUGAAGUCUAGCUUGCUAGACGGAUUAGUGGCGAACGGGUGAGUAAUAUAUCGGAACGUAUCCAUUAAUGGGGGAUAACUAGUCGAAAGAUUGGCUAAUACCGCAUACGUCCUACGGGAGAAAGCUGGGGAUCGUAAGACCUGGCGUUAAUGGAGCGGCCGAUAUCUGAUUAGCUAGUUGGUGAGGUAAAGGCUCACCAAGGCGACGAUCAGUAGCUGGUCUGAGAGGACGACCAGCCACACUGGAACUGAGACACGGUCCAGACUCCUACGGGAGGCAGCAGUGGGGAAUUUUGGACAAUGGGCGCAAGCCUGAUCCAGCCAUUCCGCGUGAGUGAAGAAGGCCUUCGGGUUGUAAAGCUCUUUCGCAAGGGAAGAAAACUUACCCUCUAACAUAGGGUGAGGUUGACGGUACCUUGAUAAGAAGCACCGGCUAACUACGUGCCAGCAGCCGCGGUAAUACGUAGGGUGCGAGCGUUAAUCGGAAUUACUGGGCGUAAAGCGUGCGCAGGCUGUUUUGUAAGUCAGAUGUGAAAUCCCUGGGCUCAACCUAGGAACCACGUUUGAAACUACAAGACUAGAAUAUGUCAGAGGGGGGUAGAAUUCCACGUGUAGCAGUGAAAUGCGUAGAGAUGUGGAGGAAUACCAAUGGCGAAGGCAGCCCCCUGGGAUAAUAUUGACGCUCAUGCACGAAAGCGUGGGGAGCAAACAGGAUUAGAUACCCUGGUAGUCCACGCCCUAAACGAUGUCUACUAGUUGUUGGUGGAGUAAAAUCCAUGAGUAACGCAGCUAACGCGUGAAGUAGACCGCCUGGGGAGUACGGUCGCAAGAUUA
rnacentral:rRNA from 1 species